UACGUAGGGACCAAGCGUUGUUCGGAUUUACUGGGCGUAAAGGGCGCGUAGGCGGCGUGUUAAGUCACUUGUGAAAUCUCUGAGCUUAACUCAGAACGGUCAAGUGAUACUGAUGUGCUAGAGUGCAGAAGGGGCAACCGGAAUUCUUGGUGUAGCGGUGAAAUGCGUAGAUAUCAAGAGGAACACCUGAGGUGAAGACGGGUUGCUGGGCUGACACUGACGCUGAGAGACGAAAGCUAGGGGAGCGAAUGGG
rnacentral:rRNA from 1 species